rnacentral:rRNA from 1 species
UACAGAGGUCCCGAGCGUUGUUCGGAUUCACUGGGCGUAAAGGGUGCGUAGGUGGCAUGUUAAGUUUGAUGUGAAAGCUCAGGGCUUAACUCUGAAAUGGCAUUGAAUACUAGCGUGCUGGAGGUUUGGAGGGGGGACUGGAAUUCUCGGUGUAGCAGUGAAAUGCGUAGAUAUCAGGAGGAACACCGGUGGCGAAGGCGGGUCUCUGGGCAGUAACUGACGCUGAGGAGCGAAAGCGUGGGGAGCAAACAGG